rnacentral:lncRNA from 1 species
AAACUCGGUGUGUUUUGAAAAGGGAAAUGGACCCAACGCAUAACAAGGUCAAACUAACCCACCUAAGUCUGUGGUUAAUAGUCAAACCUAAAAGCUACUUUGAGGAAUGCUUAUAGUAUUCUAAGAUAUCAGGCAACACCAACAUGGUAUGGGAUCAUAAUGGAAAGCUCCACUUUAACAAUCUAUCAUUUUUCUAUAACAAAGAAGGAGCUGCCGAAAGUGAUAACACAUGUCUAUUGGCCUAUGCAUAUAUGCUAUUGCUAUGGCGUGUCUAUUGGCAUUGAUCUGCAAUUACAUACUCAAAAUCCAAUUAGUAGUAAUUUAAAACCAAGAUAAGAGACAAAACAUUUCCAUCCAAUUUAACGAACAUGGCUAGAUUUCCAAGCAUCUAUGUGACUUAGUGACCGUCUUGAGAAUACCUCAACUAAGAGAAGUUGAAGUCUAAGGAUUUUAAAUUCUAAAUAGUGUUCUCUUAUUUUACAAAAAAAUGCUUGAUAUCUUAUCCCAAUCUUAAACAGAUUCUCCUAAUAUCAAACUCCCCAUCCUGAAACUGAAACAAAUCCGAGGCAUAUAUUGUUCAAAACCAUCUAAAUAAAGUUGGAAUCCGUAACCCUCAGUAAACUACUAAUAACUGAUCAUUAUUAGCAGCAUGCUGAGAUUAUGUUUUCUAUGUCACUGUGAGAUCUUGGGAAUCCUGCAGUUUAAAAGGGAACAAGAUCUCAUAAACAAAAGGAGCUCCAGAUAAAGCUCCAAGAUCCUAGUCACUUGUGAUUGGAUGGGAAAUAGAUAAAGUGCCAGGCAAAAAUAUAUUUUACACUGCCCUAUAGUAAGAAGUGGAAGCUUAAGAGCGAAUAAGGCUUUUCAUAAAAAAGAAGUUUCAUUGGUUAACAACAUAAGAAUGUGACUUACAGGUAAUACAGGUCCACUAUACAUCUGAGAGAUACGAGAUGGUAUCAAAUCAUAUUUUGUCAUAUACCAUACUCCGAGGGGGAAAUUGCAACAAAAUGUAAGAAGCAAGACUAUGUAAGACAGAAGCAUUACUAGGCACAAAGUAAAAUCUGAUUGUAGCUGUGAAAGAGAUGGUUUUAAAUAGUAUCAUAGAGCUUUAUGCAAAGCCCUCGUUUCUGGACUAAAACUAAAAACUUGGAUCAAUAAGAAGAUUCAUAUCUGAACUUUUGGAUUUAAUGGCAUUUAGAGAUUCAGAUAAUUCAGAACCAUGCAAAUAAAAAAUGGAAAAAGUAUGUCGGCAUACCAUUGUAGAGGAUAAAGGUGGACACAAAAGGUUGCGCCAACACAUCCAAACACCGCAAGAAGUUCUCUACAUAAUUAAGAAAAAGGAAUGAUUAGUAGGAAAGAUUGAUAAAAUAUCCUACUGACAAAAAAGUUCACAAAAUGACCAUCAAUGAGAAAUGGAAUUUAAAGGUAAUGAAUAGGUCCCACGAAAG